AGCGAACGUUUGCGGCGGGCCUAACACAUGCAAGUCGAACGAGAAUCCGCCCCAUCUUCGGGUGGGGGGGAGGAAAGUGGCGCACGGGUGCGUAACACGUGGGUAAUCAAUCCUCCUGACCGGGACAACCUCGGGAAACCGGGGCUAAUACCGGAUGAGUCAUCGAAGCCUUCGGGUUUCGCUGGGAAAGACUCGCAAGGGUCACUGGAGGACGAGCUCGCGGCCCAUCAGCUAGUUGGUGAGGUAAAGGCUCACCAAGGCGAAGACGGGUAGCUGGUCUGAGAGGAUGAUCAGCCACACUGGAACUGAGACACGGUCCAGACUCCUACGGGAGGCAGCAGUGGGGAAUAUUGCGCAAUGGGCGAAAGCCUGACGCAGCCACGCCGCGUGAGCGAUGAAGGCCCUAGGGUCGUAAAGCUCUGUGGAGGGAGAAGAAUAAAGCCAGUGAAGAGCUGGCCUUGACGGUAC
rnacentral:rRNA from 1 species